AUGCACUUCAGCUGCUCAUGCCCUAACAUGGAAACUAUACAGAGGUCAGCACAUCUCUUGCACAAAGAUGCCACACAGAUUUGUGAAACCUUUCAUAUUUCU